CUACGGGGGGCUGCAGUGAGGAAUUUUGCGCAAUGGGGGAAACCCUGACGCAGCAACGCCGCGUGAGUGAAGAAGGCCCUCGGGUCGUAAAGCUCUGUCAAGUGGGAAAAACGUCUUUUGAUUAAUAGUCAAAAGAUCUGAUGGUACCACUAGAGGAAGCACCGGCUAACUCCGUGCCAGCAGCCGCGGUAAUACGGAGGGUGCAAGCGUUGUUCGGAAUUACUGGGCGUAAAGAGCGUGUAGGCGGUAUGGUAAGUCAGAUGUGAAAGCCCAGGGCUCAACCCUGGAAGUGCAUUUGAUACUGCCAUUCUUGAGUAUGGGAGAGGAGAGUGGAAUUCCCAGUGUAGAGGUGAAAUUCGUAGAUAUUGGGAGGAACAUCCGUGGCGAAGGCGACUCUCUGGACCAAUACUGACGCUGAGACGCGAAAGCGUGGGGAGCAAACAGGAUUAGAUACCCUAGUAGUC
rnacentral:rRNA from 1 species